GCCAGUGUGGCAUAGUGGUUUGAGCGCUGGACUACAACUCUAGAGACCAGGGUUGGAUUCCUCGCUCAAGGCU